rnacentral:misc_RNA from 1 species
GAUGAAGAACGUAGCGAAAUGCGAUACUUGGUGUGAAUUGCAGAAUCCCGUGAACCAUCGAGUCUUUGAACGCAAGUUGCGCCCGAAGCCAUUAGGCCGAGGGCACGCCUGCCUGGGCGUCACACGUCGUUGCCCCCCCAUCUACUCCUUCGGGAUUGCGGGGGGUGGAUGAUGGCCUCCCGUGCGCCUCGUCGCGCGGUUGGCAUAAAUGCCAAGUCCUCGGCGACGCACGCCACGACAAUCGGUGGUUGCGAAACCUCGGUUGCCCGUCGUGUGCGGUCGUCGCGCAUCGAGGGCUCGAAAAAAUUGUCGGGCUCUGUUUCGGCUUUCAACGCGACCCCAGGUCAGGCGGGGUUACCCGCUGAAUUUAAGCAUAUCAAUAAGCGGAGGA